rnacentral:rRNA from 1 species
UGUUCCCUACGGGGGGCAGCAGUGGGGAAUAUUGCACAAUGGGGGAAACCCUGAUGCAGCAACGCCGCAUGAAGGAAGACGGUUUUCGGAUUGUAAACUUCUGUUCUUAGUGAAGAAGAAUGACGGUAGCUAAGGAGCAAGCCACGGCUAACUACGUGCCAGCAGCCGCGGUAAUACGUAGGUGGCAAGCGUUGUCCGGAAUUACUGGGUGUAAAGGGAGCGCCAGCGGGAAGCCAACUC